CCUACGGGUGGCAGCAGUGAGGAAUAUUGGUCAAUGGACGGAAGUCUGAACCAGCCAUGUCGCGUGCAGGAAGACGGCCCUAUGAGUUGUAAACUGCUUUUGUACAAGGGUAAACCUGAACACGUGUAUUCAGCUGAAAGUAUUGUACCAAUAAGGAUCGGCUAACACCGUGCCAGCAGCCGCGGUAAUACGGAGGAUCCAAGCGUUAUCCGGAUUUAUUGGGUUUAAAGGGUGCGUAGGCGGAUUGAUAAGUCAGAGGUGAAAUGUCCGAGCUUAACUCGGGAACUGCCUCUAAUACUGGUGACCUAGAGAGUAGAUACGGUAGGCGGAAUGUAUGGUGUAGCGGUGAAAUGCUUAGAGAUCAUGAAGAACACCGAUUGCGAAGGCAGCUUACCAAUGUAUAUCUGACGUUGAGGCACGAAAGCGUGGGGAGCAAACAGGAUUAGAUACCCUAGUAGUC
rnacentral:rRNA from 1 species